AGUGAAAGGGGGAGCUCAGUGAGUGACCUGGGGGCUGAUGGAGCAAGCUGGUUGGAAGACUCCUCUUGACACAUACUGAUGAGACCCAGGUGAUCAAAGAAACAGUGUGAAUUGGACAUAAGCGAAGCCUUGUUUCCUGGAGUUGCCUCUCAGUCACCUAUCAGUGUAAUGCCAUUAUUGCUCUCCUGGCUUGCAUCUGGGUGACAUCUGAAUCAGGACCUAUGGGUUUCAAACAGAGAAAGUUGAAGGUCUGUUUUAAAGAGGAAAUCAUGUAAUGUCUGAAGGCCGGUUUUACAGGCUGAAUUGAACCCUGAAGAGAAGAUCAUGCCCCAGCUCUGAUCUAUGCCUGUUUUCCUGACUUGUAGUUCUGUGAACUCUAGAGUUGUAAACCAAAGAGAGAGGCUGCUGGGAAAGGAAGUGGCAAGCGCAAGCCACUUUUUUCAAUUGAGAGAGACUUGGAGAGGAGCAACAGCAACCAUCGCUGCUGGCUGGUAGGGCUUUCCACUGACUGAGGUACAAGCUGUAGUGGAGCUCCCAGCUAAGGAAGGUGUCCAAGGAGGAGAUGUGCUUAAGUCGUCUGUGGAAGUGGCCACAGAGGCAAACAUAGGAAGUAGCCUUAAGAAAAGAUUAUCUAAGCAGCCAUUGGCUUCAUUGUUUAUAGCCUCUAGGCUGGAGCCCAUGGUAGAGGGAAAGGACAGUCUCCUCUACCACAAUGAAGUGGUUCUUAAUCUUGUAUCAUCAAGGUUGAACCCAAGAUGAAAGAGGAUGUUUGUACAGACCCAUGAGAGAAGGCUGUGGUCCAGAGAAUGAGGAAUUGAGCAAAUGAUGGUUUUGUUGGGUUGUGUUUGCUUGUGAGAUUUUUAUAUAUCCCGGAAGGAAUGGAUUUGUUAGGUGGUUGGAGGGCUAAACUAUUCUUCCAAAAGAGGAAAGCCAAUGCACAGAGGGGGAAAAACCAAGGCAGUAGAAGAGGUAGGUAUCAUGGUUUCAGGCCAACUGCACCUAUGUUCCCUCAUCAUGGUCCUUCAAGGGCACCCACAGUAGGGUCUGGCUCCUCACCCAUUACCCCUCGUGCAUGGAAAUCCAAGUCUCUCUUCCUCCUGACCAGGGAAUCUCUAAGGCUUCACAGUUCCCUAUGAUAUCCCCAGCAAAGCCAGACUGUCUAAAAGGCCAGCAGCCUAUGCUUUGCUUUCUCUCCAGAGACUUUGAAGAGCUGUAAUUGCCAGCAGCUAACUUACCACACAGCUCUUUCUAAGCAAGCACAUUUAUUCUUAAGGUGAAAGCAUUACAGAGAAAAUAUUAAAAAGAAAAAGAAUUUUAAAAAAAUAAAAACCCACAUGC